UGGGGAAUAUUGGACAAUGGGGGGAACCCUGAUCCAGCCAUGCCGCGUGUGUGAAGAAGGCCUUAUGGUUGUAAAGCACUUUAAGCGAGGAGGAGGGUACUGGUAUUAAUACUACCAGGUACUGGACGUUACUCGCAGAAUAAGCACCGGCUAACUCUGUGCCAGCAGCCGCGGUAAUACAGAGGGUGCGAGCGUUAAUCGGAUUUACUGGGCGUAAAGCGUGCGUAGGCGGCUAAUUGAGUCGGAUGUGAAAUCCCCGAGCUUAACUUGGGAAUUGCAUUCGAUACUGGUUAGCUAGAGUGUGGGAGAGGAUGGUAGAAUUCCAGGUGUAGCGGUGAAAUGCGUAGGGAUCUGGAGGAAUACCGAUGGCGAAGGCAGCCAUCUGGCCUAACACUGACGCUGAGGUGCGAAAGCAUGGGGAGCAAACAGG
rnacentral:rRNA from 1 species